rnacentral:lncRNA from 1 species
UUUUUUCCACUGUACAGCAUGGGGACCAAGUUACACAUACAUGUAUACAUACUUUUUCCUCCCAUUGUCGUGUUACGAUGUAAGUAUCUAGACAUAGCUCUCAAUGCUACACAGCAGGAUCUCAUUGUAAAUCCAUUCCAAGAGCAAUAGUUUGCAUCCAUUAACCCCAAGCUCCCGAUCCUCCUACUCCCUCCCUCUCCCCCCAGGCAGCCACAAGUCUAUUCUCCAAGUCCAUGAUUUUCUUUUCUGCGGAAAGGUUCAUUUGUGCUGUAUAUUAGAUACCAGAUAUGAGUGAUAUCAUAUGGUAUUUGUCUUUCUCUUUAUGACUUACUUCACUCGGUAUGAGAGUCUCUAGUUGCAUCCAUGUUGCUGCAAAUGGCAUCAUUUUGUUCUUUUUUCUGGCUGAGUAGUAUUCCAUUGUGUAUAUGUACCACACCUUCCUAACCCAAUCGUCUGUCGAUGGACAUUUGAGUUGUUUUUCCAUGUCUUGGUAAUUAUUCUUAAGGUGUCUGACUCUCACUAGACCAUGAGCUCCUCAAAGCUAGGAGCCAUGGUCUAGUCAUUUUUCUGUCAGCAGAGUUUAAAUCAUGCUACAUAACGUAUUUGUGCCUCAACAGAUCUUUGACGAAUGAAGGAAUGAAUGAGGAGUUCCUGUUGAGGCUCAGCAGGUUAAGAACCUGAAAUAGGGUCUGUGAGUUUACAGGCCUUGACCCCUGGCCUCACUCAGUGAGUUAAGGAUCCAGUGUUGCUGUCGCUGUGGCGUAGGGGGCAGCUGUAGCUCCCAUUCAGCCCCUGGCCCGGGAACCUCCAUAUGCUGCAGAUGUGGCCGUAGAAAGAAAAAAAAGUGAAGUCGCGAAGGAGUCCAAGAACAGCAGCGAGGCUGAGCCCACGCUGUGGAUGCGGGUGUUCUGCUCCGUUAGUUCCAGUAGUGAGAGGAGUGAGCUCCCACGUGGUAGCUGAGCAGCUCCACCUACGGGGAUGGAAAUAUUUCUGGGGUAGAGAGCCAGGCAUGAGAGGGACCUCUUACCACUUCUGCUAUAUUCUGUCGGUUACAGAAGAAUCUGUAAGAAACUCAGGUGUAGUUGAUUACACAAAGGCGUGAAUAUAAGGAAAGAUUCCCCCCAGGUACAGCGCUUCGGAGAAAGGGUUUCUGAGAACGCGGUCCCCUUUUACCUUAACUUUGAAGUUUUCAAGGAAACAGGAGCCUGUUCAAUUCUGCAGGCCAGAUCCCACGCUGCCCUCUUUGUAUAUAACCCUGCUUUGCUUUGAUCCUAUCAAAACAUUGGCAUUUCAUUUAAAUUUCACCUAAAUGUCACCAUCUCCCAGCAGCCUGUAACUCUUUUCUUUUGGUUUAGUGGGAUAUCCCAAAGUUUCUCCAGUUGUGCAGUCUCUCUUGUUGCAAGUGAAUGCAUCUCAUCUUGUUCUGGGGUAGAGAGCCAGGCAUGAGAGGGACCUCUUACCACUUCUGCUAUAGAGGUUUGUCCCGGAUGGGUUUGGCUGACCGGCCGGAACACCCGUCCAGCCCCUCGCUGCCAGGAACAAGUGAUCUUGGAGAGGCAGCAGCGGGCGAUGGCUUGAAGCGAGAUCUUAACCCUCUGCUCAGGAGUGGAACCUGGGCAGCCUGGGUGAAAGGCAGGGAUCCUAGCCGCUAGACCAACCAGAGGCUAGGAGCGGAAUUGCCCUGAUUCUUGUUCUCUGUUGAAAGCAAGAAUGUUUCAAGGAGGCAAAGACUGAAGAGAGGUAUAAAGUUUAUUACCAGCCCACAGAGAGGUGGUUAUUCUAUUUAAGUCAGAAGCAAAGGUGUAGUGCAGACCCUAAAGAGGAGAGCAGGUGCGGGCGACCCCUGAGUGAGGGAGGGGCGCUCCAGAGGGGAUUGAACUCGCUUGGAAAGGACACUUCCUUUUGGCCGAUUACCUUGUUUUAUUUCCCACGCCCGACUGGACACAGGACCCUCCCGAGGACGCGUGCGCGUCUCUUGGCGAAGGUGGACUCCAGGGCAGAGGGUGCCAGGACAGGGUCAGGACUUACUACGGCCUGGCGCCCCCUCCCUUUCUGACCCCUAGGAGCCUUACUGCGCAUGUGUGGUUGGGGAGCUCUCCUUGACCCCCGCAGUGACCGAGGUGGUAGCUUCUCUUUCUCCUCCAGCAGAGCUCAGCUCCCGCAGUUAACUUCCUCCUCGAGGUGACAGAGAAGCGAGGCCCAAUUUACUCAGCCUGAGAGGUCCCAGCCGUUCUCAGCCCAGGGGCCCAUCUCCCUCCUCCCUCACCAGGACUCUAGCAACAGGCACACCUGGGACCCCUGAGUUUCCCACGCUGAGGCCUCCCCCCCUCGACGGCAUGGGUUUUGUGCUGCAUCUGCUCUUUUACUAUCUCUUGGCUCUUGAGAGUCACGCUAAUUUCUUGAGUAAGUAGACAGGACUACUCCUGGGGUUGAGACCCAAAACUCUAAUAAGUGCUAUUUUUAUUUUUGACCAGCUGCCAGCUAACUUCUCAUGCGUUGCCUGCUAAUAAACUUGCCCUCCUUCCUGACAUAGCUGCACAGAGAGCGGUUUGGAAUUGCACUGGUGCCACUAAAGAACUUUGACAUAAGCAAGAUCCUUCAUUUCAGAGACGCCUUAGCAUGAAAAAGAGAAAGAACAACUCUCUCUUGAGGUGCGUUGUCUGUCUUAUUUCUGGAUGAUCAGUUAGUUUAAAGAAAGGCUCCUUCCCUUCUGAAACAUCCUUCAUUCUGAGGGAUUGAUAGAUAUUGGCUAUUUCAUUCUGUGACGAUAAAAUUGCCAAGAGUGUUACUGUUUAAACCAGUUACAAUGAUUUGAGUGCGUGUGUGUGUUUUAAUUUAUUUUAAUUAAUUUAUUUAUUUGGCCUCACCUUCGGCAUGUGGAAGCUCGUGGGCCAGGGAUCAAACUCGGGCUGCUGCAGUGACAAUGCUGGAUUCUUAAUCGAGUUGCCACAAGGAAACUCCUGGACGUGUGUUUUGAAAUGGGUUUUUCUAAAUCUAAAGUUUUCCCUCUCUUUGAAGCAGAGAUUACUAGACUGUCUCCAAUGAUAAUUUUGUCUAAAGCUGGUUCCCUUUUACUUUUUUUCCUUCUGGCUCUUCACUCUUACUCCAUCUCCUGAGAAAUUUUAAAGGUGAAUUGACCAGAAAAAAAUCAGGAGAUUCCCUUGUGGCUCAGUGGUAACAAAUCCAACUAGUAUCCAUGAGGACGUGGGUUCAACCCCUGGUCUCACUCCGUGGGUCGGGGAUCCAGUGUUGCUGUGAGCUGUGGUGUAGGUUGCAGACACAGCUCAGAUCCUGUGUUCCUCUGGGCUGUGGUGUAGGCCAGCGGCUAUAGCUCUGAAUCAACCCCUAGCCUGGGAACCUCUGUAUGCUGCGGGUGCUGCCCUAAAAAGAAAAAAGAAAUGCUGAAGGUAAAAAACAUAAAAUGUAUUUCCCUCAUGGUUCAGCAGGUUAAGGAUCCGGCAUAUUCACUGCUGUGGCUCUGGUUACAGCUGUGGCACGGAUUCAGUCCUUGGCCCAGGAACUUCCACAUGCCCUGGGUACUGCCAAAAAAAUAAAAAGAUAAACAAAUAAAAUUAUUUCUAAGUUCUUAGUUAAAAUAUUAAGACCUUAGGAAAUAAGG